GAUGAACGCUGGCGGCGUGCCUAACACAUGCAAGUCGAGCGAUCUUCUUCGGAAGAGAGCGGCGGACGAGUGAGUAACGCGUGGGUAACCUGCCCUGUACACACGGAUAACAUACCGAAAGGUAUGCUAAUACGAGAUAAUAUGCUUUUAUCGCAUGGUAGAAGUAUCAAAGCUCCGGCGGUACAGGAUGGACCCGCGUCUGAUUAGCUAGUUGGUAAGGUAACGGCUUACCAAGGCGACGAUCAGUAGCCGACCUGAGAGGGUGAUUGGCCACAUUGGAACUGAGACACGGUCCAAACUCCUACGGGAGGCAGCAGUGGGGAAUAUUGCACAAUGGGCGAAAGCCUGAUGCAGCAACGCCGCGUGAGCGAUGAAGGCCUUCGGGUCGUAAAGCUCUGUCCUCAAGGAAGAUAAUGACGGUACUUGAGGAGGAAGCCCCGGCUAACUACGUGCCAGCCGCCGCGGUAAAAC
rnacentral:rRNA from 1 species